rnacentral:rRNA from 1 species
UGGGGAAUAUUGCACAAUGGGCGCAAGCCUGAUGCAGCCAUGCCGCGUGUGUGAAGAAGGCCUUCGGGUUGUAAAGCACUUUCAGCGAGGAGGAAGGUGGUGAACUUAAUACGUUCAUCAAUUGACGUUACUCGCAGAAGAAGCACCGGCUAACUCCGUGCCAGCAGCCGCGGUAAUACGGAGGGUGCAAGCGUUAAUCGGAAUUACUGGGCGUAAAGCGCACGCAGGCGGUUUGUUAAGUCAGAUGUGAAAUCCCCGGGCUCAACCUGGGAACUGCAUUUGAAACUGGCAAGCUAGAGUCUCGUAGAGGGGGGCUAGAAUUCCAGGUGUAGCGGUGAAAUGCGUAGAGAUCUGGAGGAAUACCGGUGGCGAAGGC